rnacentral:rRNA from 1 species
UACGAAGGUGGCAAGCGUUGUCCGGAUUCAUUGGGCGUAAAGGGCUCGUAGGCGGCUGCUCAAGUCGAAUGUGAAAACUCGAGGCUCAACCUCGAGCCUGCAUUCGAUACUGGGCGGCUAGAGUCUGGUAGGGGGAUCUGGAAUUCCUGGUGUAGCGGUGAAAUGCGCAGAUAUCAGGAGGAACACCGGUGGCGAAGGCGGGUCUCUGGGCAACAACUGACGCUGAGGAGCGAAAGCGUGGGGAGCGAACAGG